CAGAAGAGAAAGGAGGCUCAGUCUGUGGGGGCUUCUGGAGCAUCCUCUGUGGAAACUAGAUUUUCAUCCUCCCUGGAGUCUGAAAGUGUGCACUGGACAGAGCAUCAGCUAGGCCUCGGGCACCCAGAGCCGCCUCCAGAGCUUGGAUGGCCUCAAAGAGAGGUGUGCAGUGGGAGACCUUAGCUGUGGUCUCCCACAUCCCAGGAUGCUGCAGAGUGUAUGCACUGAGCUGUGGGCCCUGGGGGCACUGGUGCCAAUAGUGGGUAGGGUAGGGGAAGAGGGGAAAGGAGGGAAAGGGAGGGGAAAGGACAGGAGGAGAGAAGAUGGGAGAGGAGAGGGAAAGAGGGAGAAAUCUUCAGCUUUCAGUAUGUCAUGGGGCCUAGGCAGGGCAAGCGCCCUCUGAAGCCAUCAAAGACAGGGGUGGCUUUUUUCCCCUCCUCCAUUCUCCUCCCCAAUAGAUAUAGCACGAAUUUUUAAUGCGUCUUCCUUUCACAGACAACAAUACAGGGUUUGAAAGCCGGACACAAUUUGGGUUUUGUGUGGGUCCCUCCUCUGGCUCCCUCAGCCCAGCUGGCCAUAUGGAAUCCAG
rnacentral:lncRNA from 1 species